UGCGGCGCGCCCAGCGUCCUCGCCGCGCAAGUUGCGGCUCCCAGGGGGCCUGGGCUGCGGGCCCGCCGGCCCCGGGGAUGGCGUCGGAGCCGCGCUGACUCCGUUCCUCCUCGGACCAAGAUGACUGAUGGAAACCUGUCCACCUCUACAAAUGGCAUAGCCUUGAUGGGCGUUCUGGGUGGUCAGCCAGGAAACCACAUUCAGAACCUGCAGCACUUGACUCUCAAGGCCCCCCGAUCCCUCUCGUUGCCAGAGUAUGGGCCCAGGCUGAAGCUUGGUCCUGUAGACGAUCGGCACAGCCUCAAGUCUGUGGACUCCGGCAUUCCCACCCUUGAGAUCAGUAACCCGGAACCCGUCCCUUGCAGCGCGGUCCAUGUGAAGAGGAAGCCGUCGGAGCCAGAGAUCGUCCCUGAGCGAGCUUGCCAGAGUGCUUGCCCACUGCCUUCCUACACACCCCCGGCUACGGGCGGUGCUGAGUGGGAGCAGAGCGUGCGGAAGUCGUCCACAUUCCCCAGGACGGCCUAUGACUCGGUGAAGCUCUACAGCCCCGCCUCCAAAGCCCUGAGCCGCAGCGAUGAUGUGUCUGUGUGCAGCGUGUCCAGUCUCGGCACGGAGCUAUCAACCACACUGUCUGUCAGCAACGAGGACAUCUUGGACCUCGUGGUCACGAGCAGCUCCAGUGCCAUAGUGACCCUGGAGAGCGACGAUGACCCACAGUUCACGGAUGUCACCUUGAACUCCGUCAAGGAAACCCGUGAGCUUCGCCAGCAGGACUGUGCAGAUGGAACCGAGGAUGGGAGUAAACUGAAAAUCUUGGGACCACUUAGCAGCUUCUUUACCAGGAAUUUGCUUGCUAGAAAACAGAAUGCAAGACUUGACAAACAAAAUGACUUGGGAUGGAAGUUAUUUGGAAAAGUACCACUUCGAGAGAAUGCUCAGAAAGAUUCAAAGAAAAUACAAAAGGAAUAUGAAGACAAGGCUGGACGACCUAGCAAGCCACCCUCUCCAAAGCAGAAUGUGAGGAAGAAUCUUGAUUUUGAGCCACUGUCCACUACCGCUCUCAUCCUGGAAGACAGACCAGCAAAUCUCCCAGCGAAGCCAGCUGAAGAAGCCCAGAAACACAGGCAGCAGUACGAGGAAAUGGUGGUUCAGGCCAAGAAACGAGAGCUAAAGGAGGCCCAGCGGAGGAGAAGGCAGCUGGAGGAGAGGUGCCGCCUGGAGGAGAGCAUCGGCAACGCCGUCCUCACCUGGAACAACGAGAUUUUGCCUAACUGGGAAACAAUGUGGUGCUCUAGGAAAGUUCGAGAUCUCUGGUGGCAGGGGAUCCCUCCCAGUGUGAGAGGCAAAGUCUGGAGCUUAGCCAUUGGCAACGAGUUAAACAUCACCCAUGAGCUCUUCGACAUCUGUCUUGCCCGAGCCAAGGAGAGGUGGCGGUCCUUCAGCACAGGAGGCUCUGAGGCAGAGAACGAAGAUGCCGGGUUUUCCGCUGCAGACCGAGAAGCCAGCUUGGAGCUUAUUAAACUGGACAUCUCUAGGACCUUUCCUAAUCUCUGCAUUUUCCAGCAGGGUGGUCCGUAUCAUGACAUGUUGCACAGUAUUUUGGGCGCUUAUACUUGUUACCGACCGGAUGUGGGUUAUGUCCAGGGUAUGUCAUUUAUCGCAGCCGUGCUGAUCUUGAACCUAGAUACUGCAGAUGCCUUCAUUGCUUUUUCUAAUCUUUUGAAUAAACCCUGCCAGAUGGCGUUUUUCCGAGUGGACCAUGGCCUUAUGUUGACCUAUUUUGCUGCAUUUGAGGUAUUCUUUGAAGAAAAUUUGCCGAAAUUAUUUGCUCAUUUCAAGAAAAACAACUUAACUCCAGACAUCUACCUAAUUGAUUGGUAGCCUGGCUCAGCAGCCUCCCCGAGGAAGUCGUUACUCCAGCUGCCUUCUGAGAAAAUGGCCCUCUCUAAAUAAAGUUCUUCUUGGACUGGACCCGAGGAGCCUGGGUUCGAGGCUUGGCUCUGCUGCGCAGGGUCUGGGACAGUCCUUUGGUCCCUGAGAGUCUGUCAGACGGCGGGUGGAUAACAGAAGCCUCCUGCCCAUUCCGCGGGUGGUCUGGGGCCUGGGUGGUGGGAUUGUCUCCCAUCGCUGGUAAACAGGAGGUGGGUGGGGGACAGGAGGGCUGAGGGAUGGUUCCCCUGGGACGGGUCACACUGGCCCUCUGGUGGCUGAGUCAGGUGAGUCCAGCCUGGACCUCCUUCUGGAUUUCUCUAGGCCCUUCUGGGUGUCCUGCCUAGGUAGGCCUUGGCCCCUGUGGGACUGGCCAGUGUUAGCUGGCUCCAAGUGCUGAUAGUACCAGAAAGGAAAAAUAAAGCCUUCCCUCUUGACCCUCUAUCGGUUCCUAGCUUGUCCAAGCAACAGAUCAUGGUUGGAGACUAUCUGUAGAGGUUCUUACUCUCCUGUGACCCUUUGUAUUAGUGGGAGAUUUCAAAUGCAUACUAAAAUAGAGUGCUGACCGCCUUACAGAGGGACAGCCGCGACACGGAGAAAGGCAGCCCGUCUCUCAGACACUGAGCGCUCGGCGCUGGAGCAGAUCUCCAGGUGGCGCCUGCGUUUCUGAUGGACACACUGACAGCCAAGACGAACAGGCUCUUUGCACGUUUGAUCCUAACCCUGGAGUUGGCCUUAAAACAAAACAAACAACUUUUAAAGAACUCAGCCAAGGCUUAGCCUUAAGCAGCUCAGUGGGGCGAUGAGCUAGUGUUGACCACGGCCAACGCUGCGUAUGCUGCAUGGUGUAAAAAUGAGAUGGUGGCUAAUCCCUCCCCCCCAAUUUCACAAAAGUUAAUUAAAUGGUCAUGCUCUUAUGUCCACUGAUGGAAAAUACAUUACAGUCUUCCUUAGCCAAGGUGCGGGAGAAAUGUACGUAGGUAGCCUCGGAGGCAUUCCUGGCUACUGACCUACUUGAGCGAGGAAGGAGUUGUGGAGCUAGUUAACCGAGAGGACCGUUCCCGGGCUGGAGGGUCUGCUUUUAAAGCCCACCUACCAAAGACAGCAGGAAAGGAAAACAGGCUCUCACAGGUGGUCACCCAGUGUGCCUGUGAGCAACCUGGGAUUUGACCUGACUUCCAGGUUGGCCUUUCUCCACUGUCACCUUGACAGAAUCACAGCACGAGGGCUGAAAAGGGCCACUUGGGUUCUGGGGAACCCCUGCUCUCCGCCCCUAAGAUUGCUUCCUCCAUCUCCUGAGCAGGAAGGGCUGCUUACCCAGGAGGCCCGAGACUGCCUUCAGACCCACACCUCCUGUGUGCAGAGGUGCAGAGGCCUGGCUGGCGGGGUCAGCCUGCGCCCUUGCUCCCCCAGAACGCUGCUCUUCCCUGUGUCCCCCGAGCAGCAGAAUCGUCCCAAGUACCAGUGCUUCCCUCCUUGUGCGUCUGGCUGAAAGCUAGAGCGUUGUGAGGGCUGAGACGCGGACCCAUGCAGAUGGCCUUGCAGGGGCUCCCAGUGUUUGUCCCAUCAGCCUCUCCCCACAUAGGUGGUCCCCUGCCCCAACCAAGUUCAUCAGCAACUUUCCUGCUGGAACCUCUCCUUAACUAAGAAUUUUGUUAAAAGCGCUUUGGUCAUGGGCAUGCACAUUCGAAGACGGGGAUGGUUUUCACACAGAAGAGCCCAGAGGACAGGCAGGUCUGUGGAGACAGGUCCUCGUGCGGACCCGGCUGCAUGCUGGUGUCCAUGAGGGCUUGAGAGACUGGGUCCGAGGGUUCCACUGCCCCCUCAGCCACACUCCCCCUGGCUGCCCUCAGUGCGGCCCUGGGGAGUGCCCUGAGCUCCAAGAGUAGGCUUGCCACGAGGUGGCCUGGCUCCCCGGGACCUUUUCUGUCUGCCAUGUUCAUGGCCAGCAUGGGCAGGAGCGGGGGCAAGGGGCCACACUAUGGCCAUGGGUCCCGUUUUCUGGAGUAGUUGCCUUCAUCCCCUGUCCUCUUAACUGAAGUCUCCAGGGAGGUUGCGGAGCGUCUCGGACCCACUCUCUGCCUCAGCCUGGAAGUGCUGGCCUGGCUGUCCUCUCGGGGGAGCGUCCCAUCUUCACUGAGGGCUCACACUUCCAGAUGUAGCCCGCCGUCCACCAUGCUGCUGAUUGUCACCUUGCCGGCCCCGGGCCUCCGCCCGCACAGGCCAAGUGUUGCUCCUGGAUGUGAGCUUUCUGUUCUGAAAGGUGUAUAUAUUUUCUUACUGUACAUACAGAUGUUCCUCGGUCGGGACAGGAAGCACCGCCGCUGCCGGGCGUGCUUGCCGCUCAUCUGCGCCUUCAGACCCAGCCCUCAACCUCCUCCGUUGGACAGGCUGACGUCCGUCUCUCGGGACUCAUGGCACCACAUAGGCAUUAGUUUUUAAACGGGUUCCCGGCCGAUGCAGAAUACUUAACCAAAUCUCUAGCUCACAGAGGUUUCGGUGGCCUGUUUGGGGGCUGCCUAGGGCCUUGCCGUGUCUGCCCCAGAGGCCGGGAGCUCGGUCUGUGUGGCCCAUCUGUGGGGUCAGGCUGCUCUGUCGGACGCCAUCGUUUAGGAAAACGGGGAGCCCACUGGAAGGCUGCGCCCCCUGCGUGUCUGCACUUUCCCGGCCCAGCUGCCGGCUGUCCAGAGCUAAGACUUGGGGUUCGGCCCCUUGUGCGUCUGGCCCUUUAGAGUCGAAAGCCGUGUCCCCACCUAUCCCUGAAAGCCCAUCUAGAAGCAAUGUUCACUUUCAAAGGUACUUUUUAACCGCUCAGUUUUUGACUAUUUGAACAGUUUGCCGAUAGAAACGUCCUGAUAAUACUUGCUACAUACCAUGUUUUAACUGCUUGUACAGUUAACCUUUAAUUUUAUUUAGCAAAGUCUAUCAAAUUAAGACUUUUUGAAUUGUAAAUAAUGUGGUUUUAUUAAAUAAAAGUCAUGGAAAAUUGUUACUUA